rnacentral:rRNA from 1 species
CCCUUAGAUGUUCUGGGCCGCACGCGCGCUACACUGAUGCAUUCAGCGAGCCUAGCCUUGACCGAGAGGUCCGGGUAAUCUUUGAAACUGCAUCGUGAUGGGGCUAGAUUAUUGCAAUUAUUAAUCUUCAACGAGGAAUGCCUAGUAAGCGUGAUUCAUCAAAUCGCGUUGAUUACGUCCCUGCCCUUUGUACACACCGCCCGUCGCUCCUACCGAUUGAGUGUGUUGGUGAGGAGUUCGGAUUGGCUCUUAGUGGUGGUUCGCCACCACCUAGAGCUGAGAAGUUCUCCAAACCGCCCCACUUAGAGGAAGGAGAAGUCGUAACA